rnacentral:rRNA from 1 species
GAUGAACGCUGGCGGCGUGCCUAAUACAUGCAAGUCGAGCGAACAGACGAGGAGCUUGCUCCUCUGAUGUUAGCGGCGGACGGGUGAGUAACACGUGGAUAACCUACCUAUAAGACUGGGAUAACUUCGGGAAACCGGAGCUAAUACCGGAUAACAUGUUGAACCGCAUGGUUCAACAGUGAAAGACGGUCUUGCUGUCACUUAUAGAUGGAUCCGCGCCGCAUUAGCUAGUUGGUAAGGUAACGGCUUACCAAGGCAACGAUGCGUAGCCGACCUGAGAGGGGGGUCCGGCCACACGGGAAAUGAGACACGGUCCAGCCUCCUAGGGGAGGCAGCAGGGGGGAUUCUUCCGAAAGGGGGGAAAGCCUGCGGGAGCAACGCCGGGGGGGUGAAGAAGUUUUUCGGUUCGUAAAACCUUUUUUUGGGGGAAAAAAAAAUGUGAAAGUAACUAGGCCCGUUUUGCCGGUACCAAAUAAAAAAGCCCGGGCUAACUACGG